rnacentral:rRNA from 1 species
UACGGGGGGGGGCAAGCGUUGUUCGGAAUUACUGGGCGUAAAGGGCUCGUAGGUGGCCAACUAAGUCAGACGUGAAAUCCCUCGGCUUAACCGGGGGAACUGCGUCUGAUACUGGAUGGCUUGAGUUUGGGAGAGGGACGCGGAAUUCCAGGUGUAGCGGUGAAAUGCGUAGAUAUCCGGAGGAACACCGGUGGCGAAGGCGGCUUCCUGGGACCGAUUACUGACGCUGAGGAGCGAAAGCCAGGGGAGCAAACGGG